rnacentral:other from 1 species
UAUCCCCUGCUGUGUACGAUAGUGGCUUGGAUCUCCUCGAGCCUAAUUACUAUUGCAGGGGACUGUUAGCUGAUGUUGGUGUGCAUGUCCGCUGCUGGCGGAAAGCCUGAUACAUCACUGCGGUCCCCCCUUGAACCUUCGGUUCAGGGGCGAAAGUCACAACGGCACAAGCGGGGGAUAU